ACGUGCUCCGGGGUCGGUGAGAAUCCGAACCGGCGGUGAGAGUCCGCGAGCUGAGGCGCAGCAUCCGAUGAGGGUGCGGCCGAGGUCGAUCCGGUGAAAUUCCGGAACCGACGGUGAUGCGACGGUUUUCCGUCGUCAGUCCGGAUGGGAGGAAGCACAG
rnacentral:ncRNA from 2 species